AAUUACAAACUUUACUUUUUCUCUAAAAAACAAAACUUUAACUUUUCAUAUCCUUUAAUCUUUCACAUUCCUACCUAACUACCAAGCAUCCUCUUCUCUUUCUACGGGUGGAUAAAUGUAGAAUUGAGAAGUAGCGAUGGGUUCCAUCAAAAGAGAAAAUUGUGCUCUCCAUUUCUCUUAAGGAUGUUGAUCCACUUUCUCGUAGAAUUGUUGCUGUUUUAGAGUUCGCAUCAUGUUUGAAGUUUGUUUCUUUCUAAAUGAGUAAAGAUUAAGUUGAAGGCUCUGGCAGAUGUGGCUGAAUACAAUUUUGUCUUAAAGGGGAGAGCAAUUGGAGUUUAGAAGUAGAAGAAUAUUAUGAAUUUUGUUCUCAGCUACUUGAAUUUUGUUGGAUUUUUUUGUCUCUAUUACUUGUAUCAGAUAUUUUUCUUCGUAUUUAUGCAACCUUUAACUUUAUAUAA